rnacentral:ncRNA from 2 species
AAAGCCGCCGCCGCAAUGGGUGUCCUCCCACGGGAGGAUGAAAAGGGAACUCGGUCCAUAGUCCGAGGCUGCCCCCGCAACUGUAGCCGGCGAGCCGGCGUGCCACUCUCUGCCACUGGAGCCGCCGGCUUCGGGAAGGCGGCACGCCAGCGACGACCCGGAAGCCAGGAGACCUGCCCGUUGCCGUCGAUUCCU